rnacentral:snoRNA from 1 species
UCUGCCCGUUGGGGCAUUGCAAGGGUGGCUGCUGUGUCCCAUGUGCAUCCGUAGGAGGCACAGAGGAGACAGGCUGCUUCUAAAAUCAGUGUUCUGUCCCAUAAACACCUUAAUAAUUAACAGCCUAACAUU